rnacentral:rRNA from 1 species
GACGAACGCUGGCGGCGUGCUUAACACAUGCAAGUCGAGCGGUAAGGCCCUUUCGGGGGUACACGAGCGGCGAACGGGUGAGUAACACGUGGGUGACCUGCCCUCAGCUCUGGGAUAAGCCCGGGAAACUGGGUCUAAUACCGGAUAUGACUCCAUGACGCAUGUUGUGGGGUGGAAAGCCUUGUGCGGCUGAGGAUGGGCCCGCGGCCUAUCAGCUUGUUGGUGGGGUGANGGCCUACCAAGGCGACGACGGGUAGCCGGCCUGAGAGGGCGACCGGCCACACUGGGACUGAGACACGGCCCAGACUCCUACGGGAGGCAGCAGUGGGGAAUAUUGCGCAAUGGGCGAAAGCCUGACGCAGCGACGCCGCGUGGGUGAUGAA